rnacentral:rRNA from 1 species
GAUGAACGCUGGCGGCGUGCCUAAUACAUGCAAGUCGAGCGAAUGGAUUAAGAGCUUGCUCUUAUGAAGUUAGCGGCGGACGGGUGAGUAACACGUGGGUAACCUGCCUAUAAGACUGGGAUAACUCCGGGAAACCGGGGCUAAUACCGGAUACCAUUUUGAACCGCAUGGUUCGAAAUUGAAAGGCGGCUUCGGCUGUCACUUAUGGAUGGACCCGCGUCGCAUUAGCUAGUUGGUGAGGUAACGGCUCACCAAGGCAACGAUGCGUAGCCGACCUGAGAGGGUGAUCGGCCACACUGGGACUGAGACACGGCCCAGACUCCUACGGGAGGCAGCAGUAGGGAAUCUUCCGCAAUGGACGAAAGUCUGACGGAGCAACGCCGCGUGAGUGAUGAAGGCUUUCGGGUCGUAAAACUCUGUUGUUAGGGAAGAACAAGUGCUAGUUGAAUAAGCUGGCACCUUGACGGUACCUAACCAGAAAGCCACGGCUAACUACGUGCCAGCCGCCGCCGUAA